UUUUCGAUAUCACAAACUAGUCAAAACAUUUACUAAAUUUUAUCAUCGGUAUAAAGACAUCAUUCGUAAAUAUAGCUGAACAUGCAGACUUCUAAUACGUUCAGGUAUUUCACAUCCAAUUUUUUAUGAAAAUAUUCUUUAUAAAGCACAAAGGUGUCAGUAUUCACCUCAGAAACUUACAAAACCUUUGAAUAGACUUAUUAAGAAGGGAUAUAAUUACGAUACUGUUGGCAAGUCAUUAAAGAUUGCAUAUUUUGGCGUUAAUAUUGAGUCACUGAUAAGGUCUUUGCAUCGGAACUAAACACAUUUAAUCUAAAAUCAGUUGUUGGCAUGACACGGGUUAUGUUCUUCUCAUAUAUGUUAUGAUGGUAUGAUACUAAACCCCUAACGGGAAGGAUUGUGCCUGAUGUUCAUAUGAUGAAAUCAUAAUCUUUCAGUCAGUUUAAUUGAAGUCUGGAGCUGGCAUGUCAGUUAACUGCUAGUAGUCUGUUGUUAUUUAUGUAUUAUUGUCAUUUUGUUUAUUUUCUUUGGUUACAUCUUCUGACAUCAGACUCGGACUUCUCUUGAACUGAAUUUUAAUAUGCGUAUUGUUAUGCGUUUACUUUUCUACAUUGGUUAGAGGUAUAGGGGGAGGGUUGAGAUCUCACAAACAUGUUUAACCCCGCCGCAUUUUUGCGCCUGUCCCAAGUCAGGAGCCUCUGGCCUUUGUUAGUCUUGUAUUAUUUUAAUUUUAGUUUCUUGUGUACAAUUUGGAAAUUAGUAUGGCGUUCAUUAUCACUGGACUAGUAUAUAUUUGUUUAGGGGCUAGCUGAGGGACGCCUCCGGGUGCGGGAAUUUCUCGCUACAUUGAAGACCUGUUGGUGACCCUCUGCUGUUUGUUUUUAUUUGGUCGGGUUGUUGUCUCUUUGACACAUUCCCCAUUUCCAU
rnacentral:lncRNA from 1 species